UCUGGAGUUGCUGCAGUGUUUCUGGGGCUGCUGUGUGUUCUCCUACUGGCUGGGAUCAUAGGCCUGUCUGUCUACUAUAACAGAGCCAUUAAAGAUUCUGAGGAUAAAAGGAACAUCUUGUCCCAGAGUUUCUCCCUUUAUAAAAUCAACACAACUUCAGAGAGAGACCAGCUACAGACCAGAUACAACAACCUGACUGAAGAGAAAGGCCAUAUUCAAGCCAAGCUUUUUGUGAUAGAGCAGCAUUGUCAGGAGGGAUGGAGAUACUCUGACUCCAGUUUGUACUUCCUGUCUACUGAGAAGAAAACCUGGGAGGAGAGCAGACAGGACUGUCUGGGGAGAGGAGCAGACCUGGUGAUCAUAAACAGCAGAGAGGAACAGACAUUUGUCUUCAACCUCCACCUGAGUGCCUGGAUUGGUCUGACUGACUCUGUUACUGAGGGGAUCUGGAAGUGGGUGGAUGGCACAACACUGACCACAGGGUACUGGUGGAAAGGACAGCCUGAUAAUUAUGGGCAGGAGGACUGUGCUGAGAUAAACUUUAGUAAAGGUGACCCUGUAACAACAUGGAAUGAUGACAAAUGUGGCGCAAAUAACAGCUGGAUCUGUGAGAAAGUGGUGUAACAAUCCCUCUCGCUCUAUCUCUCUCUCAUAUACAGUGUAUAUAUAUUGAUUGUUGGAUACAGUGCUGAAUGGUUAAGUGAUGAUUCCACCUGGUGGUUAAAGUGAGGGAUGAACUCACCAAAAAGUUGUAUUACAGAGUUGCCUACGGGCUCUUUUUUAAUGAGACCUUACUCAAUUCCUCCUCACACCCUCUCUCUUCGACUCCUUCUCCAAACACAUUAGAGAAUACAAUCCUAGGGGAGGGACCUUGGACCUUCUCCUCUAAUAGGGUUGAGAAGGAGGGGAGGAGAUAGGAGGAGAAGAGACAAGAGGAGAGGAAUCUAGGCUAAUUGAGAUAGAGCCUUAGUGUCAGAGAGAGAGGAGGAAGAAGAACAUUAAGAGAAUGAGGAAGAGAAAAAGUGAUUGUUGUGUUUAGAUUUAGAGGAGAAUAUGUAGACAUACUGUACUCUGUAAAAUGCUUCUUCCUUAUUUGUAUUAGAAACAUGUCAUGUGAUUUGCAGUAGGCUUAUGCUUAGUA